GCCGCCGUGGAGCUCCGCGGGCCGCCUGGUUGCGCUGCAUCCGGAGGGGGCCGAGGGGACCUGAAAGCUGCGGCAGAGCCCGACCGCGCCGUUCCCCAGAGCAGCCCCGGCCCGGCUGCGGCUGAGUCGCGCUCCGGGUGUGGACGGAGCCGGAGCCCCCCCGGGGCGCGCGCUGAGGUCAUAGGGCCCAAGCCCUGGGCCUUCAAGUCUUGACCGAGCGCAUCCCCGGCCCUUCUGCGCCCACGCCUGAGUUUUUGUCUGUAGGAGUUUCAGCAGUUCGCUAAGGUUGUUAUUCGAGUUAUUUAUGUUUCUUCUCUCUAAGGUAUUUUGUUCCCUCUUUAGAAUCGACAUCUAGAGGAGUACUCACCACUUAAUUGGUGAUCAAUACACGUUCGUUGAAAGAACCGAUAGCAUGCGAUGGCUACAGAGCAUCUGCACUGGGAGUGUCCGCCCCGCCUGGCAGGGAGGCCUCGGGGGCUAAUGGAGCUGACGGUUUAGUUGGCCUUGGACCCUCGCUUUUUUCCUUCCCUGUACCAUGAAGAUAACUGCCUUAUCUACCUCUCAGGACUGUUUUGGGGAUUAAAUAGGACGUUUAAAUUACCAACGCUGUUUGAAAUAAGCAUUUCAAAAUUGUUAUAACCCUUUA
rnacentral:antisense_RNA from 1 species